rnacentral:pre_miRNA from 1 species
AUGUAGUGUAACAUGCCCGUUGGGUUUUACUCUGAUGUUGAAUUAAUUAGUAUUUAAUUAAAUUUGGGUAACGGGGUGUUAGAAUUUG